UUUACAGUCAAGUAAGUAAAGCAUAUGAUACUUAUGAGUUAUGAGCGAUUAAUUAUAAAUUUUUGUGAUUACUCUAGCUUGUUACACUAAAAGUUAUAGAACGCACAAUAAAAUAUUCCGGUUCCGAAUUUAAACGACAGUGGAUAAAAUAUUUUUAUUAUUACAAAGUGCAGAUGGACAGGAUAGUUCUGUGAGAAAUUAGGAGACUGAAUAGUCCUAUUCACAGUCCCCGCCGCCAUCUUGGAUACAAACAUGAAAACAAGGCGAGAGUUGACUCAUAAUCAAAACAAACAUUGUUGUCAUUGCUGAGUUUUUGGCAAAAAUGGUUCUAGUUUAUCAAAAUGUCAAUCUCAAUUCGUUAGAAGACAUUCAGAAACUUUCUGUAAAGAGUCUUAGAGAUGUUUUACGUUCCUACAAAGAAAAUACGAGCGGCAUAAAGGCCGAUCUCGUCCUAAAAGUCUACGCGAUUCUUAUGUCACACGUGCUAGAUGGCGGGCCAAGUGUCCGGAAGUAGAAAACCCGCAAGAUUGCGUUACUUUAUAAUACUGUAUUACGUUACAUAUUUAGUUUUGUUAUGUGAUCAUGUUGUAAUUCGAGAUAGGUAAAAAAGGGGGUUGUGCCCCUAGAGUUGAGAUGCGAGUGUACUAUUACUACGGAGAGUUUGUGAUCAAGAAAUAAAGUAAAGAGAAUAUAAGUGAGUUUAUUUGGUUGUCCCCGACAAGCUCAACACAAGUUCAAAGUCAAACUGUUGGUAUCAACUUUGCCACAGACCAAAUGCAAGUGGGCUUUUUUGUGGGUACCAGGGGGUGAAGCUUGCGAGGCACAUCAAAAGGCAACAUUCCAAGGAAUCUGAAGUGGCCUGCCAGCUUGCAGGAACGAGUAAAAAGAACAAAGUAAAAGAACACGAAAGGCUCCGGCUCCUCGGUGAUUAUCACCACAAUUGCAAUGUCCUGAGCUUAGGCGAAGGACAACUGAUUGUGGUAUGCCUACCUCCCUUGUAAGUCGUGCCUUGGGUUUCACAAGGGGGACGACCUUUGGAGGCACAGAAAGAAGUGUGCGUUUAAACAGCAUGGGACAGACGAAGAAGUUGGUAUCACCUUUGCCACAGACCAAAUGCAAGUGGGCUUUUUUGUGGGUACCAGGGGGUGAAGCUUGCGAGGCACAUCAAAAGGCAACAUUCCAAGGAAUCUGAAGUGGCCUGCCAGCUUGCAGGAACGAGUAAAAAGAACAAAGUAAAAGAACACGAAAGGCUCCGGCUCCUCGGUGAUUAUCACCACAAUUGCAAUGUCCUGAGCUUAGGCGAAGGACAACUGAUUGUGGUAUGCCUACCUCCCUUGUAAGUCGUGCCUUGGGUUUCACAAGGGGGACGACCUUUGGAGGCACAGAAAGAAGUGUGCGUUUAAACAGCAUGGGACAGACAAAGAAGCCAACCUAUAUACCAAAUCUGUAUACGGUGAAGUGAAUAAAUUGUAUUGUGAGCGUGACGAGGUCGGCUUCGUGGCCAAGCACGAUGAACUAAUAAUACAGAUGGGGAACUGCCUCUAUGAUCAGCAUGGCGAGAGGCAGGCUACUUAUAUGAGCACCAAAAUGCGGGAGAUAGCCAGAUUGGUGCUCGAGGUCAAAAUAAAUGAACCGAGCCAACAUGGCCUGACUGAACUCAUCACUUCCCGAAAUUUCGCCCUGGUAAAAGAGGGGGUGAAGCGGGUUGCCGGCUUUAGUGGUGUCCAGCAUAUCUUCACCAUCCCUAGCGCACUUCACUAGUGCACUUCACUAGUGCACUUCACUGAAGUGGGCAACUGGGCUCAGGCGCCAAGAUGAUGCAGCUAUCCUCCAUCUUAUGGAUAUAGAGUGGGCUCAAAAGAAUUAUCAAGCACUGGCCAAGUUUCUCAUAUCUAGUAAAAGACAAGUGUUAGUGGUAGUGCUCCCCCAACAUUACAGGAGGGUCUUUCCAUUUGAAGCUAUAGCAGCAGUCAGCUGUACUUUAGUAGUGCCCACUCUUUCAACAGUCUUCAUAAUAAAAUCUUGUAGGACAUGCUCACAAUGCCACAAAUACAAUUGUCUGCAAUAGAAAGCCUGUUUUACUUUUUUUUUUAUGUAUGUCUCGUACUAUAUACCAGAUUUCUGUUACAUGAUAAUAGCAAACUCAAGUAUAGAAUAUGUGAAAAAUUUGUUUUGGUGAAGAUGAAAAACAACUGACACCCUUCAGUGCUUAUGUACAGUAGACAAUUACUUAUCUA